rnacentral:rRNA from 1 species
CUUUAGAGUUUGAUUCCUGGCUCAGAAUGAACGCUGGCGGCGUGCCUAACACAUGCAAGUCGAGCGAGAAAGGGGGCUUCGGUUCCUGAGUAGAGCGGCGCACGGGUGAGUAACGCGUGGAUAAUCUACCCAUGGAUUCGGGAUAACAGUGGGAAACCGCUGCUAAUACCGGAUAAGUUCAUGCAUUUUGGAGAUGCGUGAGGAAAGGCGGCCUCUGUAUCAAGCUGCCGUCGAUGGAUGAGUCCGCGUCCCAUUAGCUUGUUGGUGGGGUAAAGGCCUACCAAGGCGACGAUGGGUAGCCGGCCUGAGAGGGUGGCCGGCCACACUGGGACUGGAACACGGCCCAGACUCCUACGGGAGGCAGCAGUGGGGAAUAUUGCGCAAUGGGCGAAAGCCUGACGCAGCAACGCCGCGUGAGGGAAGAAGGCCUUCGGGUCGUAAACCUCUGUCAGGAGGGAAGAACUGCGUGGAUUCGAAUAGGGUCUGUGUUGGACGGACCUCCAAAGAAGC